rnacentral:rRNA from 1 species
CAUGCAAGUCGAGGGGAAACGACAUCGAAAGCUUGCUUUUGAUGGGCGUCGACCGGCGCACGGGUGAGUAACGCGUAUCCAACCUGCCCACCACUUGGGGAUAACCUUGCGAAAGUAAGACUAAUACCCAAUGAUAUCUCUAGAAGACAUCUGAAGGAGAUUAAAGAUUUAUCGGUGAUGGAUGGGGAUGCGUCUGAUUAGCUUGUUGGCGGGGUAACGGCCCACCAAGGCUACGAUCAGUAGGGGUUCUGAGAGGAAGGUCCCCCACAUUGGAACUGAGACACGGUCCAAACUCCUACGGGAGGCAGCAGUGAGGAAUAUUGGUCAAUGGACGAGAGUCUGAACCAGCCAAGUAGCGUGCAGGAUGACGGCCCUAUGGGUUGUAA